rnacentral:rRNA from 1 species
GACAGAGGUGCCGAGCGUUAGGCGGAAUCACUGGGCUUAAAGCGUGUGUAGGCGGACCGUUAAGUACCUUGUGAAAUCCCACGGCUCACCCGUGGAACGGCUGGGUAUACUGGCGGUCUUGGGCCACCUAGGGGCAGAUGGAACAGACGGUGGAGCGGUGAAAUGCGUAGAUAUCGUCUGGAACGCCAAAGGUGAAAACAGUCUGCUGGGGGUGUGGCCGACGCUGAGACACGAAAGCCAGGGGAGCGAACGGG